GGUGGGGGGCCCGGGGACUGGGGGCCCGGGCGGCAGAGCCCCUCCUGCCAAUGGGGGCGCAGUCACGCCGGGGCCGACCGGCCGCGAACGCCCGCGGGGAGCGGGAGAGGGUUUGCUCUGGCUACGGAGCUGGGAGCAGGGUGCUGGUGACGGGGCUCCCAGCACCUACUCAGUACCCUUCACCCAACCCCUGCCUCGGGCGUGGACUCCCGGCGGAGGCUCUGGGAGCCGGGCUGAGGGCUUGAGCCUAGCGUAUCUGGGAGAACUGGAGAGAGGAGUCUCAGAUGGCUAAAGUCAGGGGCGCCAGUUGGAGAGCCGGUGGCUCCUCCGAUACUCACACGCCCGGAUUUAACCAGUUCAGGGAGGGCCCAGAACCUAGACCUCCACCAGUCAUGGUGGGCUGUGUCUCCCACCUCCCCAGGGCAACCCAGAUCCAGCCCCCAACCUACCCCGGGCCCAUUCCUGUGUGGGCACCCGGACCCUACCCUUGCCCCACAGAGUGGCCCGCAGCCCCUGGCGGGGAGAGCAAGGGCUGUGAUUGGGGCCCAACAGAAACAGGAUAUUCAGAAGGGGCUUUCCCUCCUGAGGGACCACAUCUCCAAGCUUCAGACUUCCAGACAAGUCCCAGGGCACGGACGUGACCCAUUACGAACAGGCAGUGAAGCUGUGGCAGGGCUGGAGCUGCCCCAGGCUCUGGCAUCAUCCCCGAGGGCUGGAGCUCACUCCCCGCUAGAGGCUUUUCCGGACCCCACGUCCACAGGCAGGUGCAUCUGGUGAAGCUUUCGGCCACACUCGCUGAGCUCAGGCCUGCAAAGGCGGAUGGGGGGAGUUCCCCAUGGUGGCCUGGCAUGACGGGUGAUUAACAAACAAGGACAGAGAGCUAGGAGCUCCGUGGGGCUAGAACCCGGCCCCAGCAAUGAUCUCGUAAGUGUGUGAUGGUGCCAGCAGGUGGACAGAGUCCAGCUGUGGGAGGCUGCCCAGCUGUGGAACUGUGUCUAGUGGUGAAGGAGGCACAACCACAACUCUAGACCCAAGCCCAGGGUCCCCUUCCCGUGCCCCAAAACUCCUCAUCCCUUUGGCCACAGUCCUGUCCAGGUGGACACUUUCGG
rnacentral:lncRNA from 10 species